UACGUAGGGAGCGAGCGUUGUCCGGAAUUACUGGGUGUAAAGGGCGUGUAGGCGGCAUGGCAAGUCAGAUGUGAAAUCCCUGGGCUUAACUCAGGAGUUGCAUUUGAAACUGUUGUGCUUGAGUGCAGGAGAGGUAAGCGGAAUUCCCGGUGUAGCGGUGAAAUGCGUAGAGAUCGGGAGGAACACCAGUGGCGAAGGCGGCUUACUGGACUGCAACUGACGCUGAGGCGCGAAAGCGUGGGGAGCAAACAGGAUUAGAUACCCUGGUAGUCCACGCCGUAAACGAUGAUUACUAGGUGUAGGGGGUAUCGACUCCCCCUGUGCCGGAGUUAACACAAUAAGUAAUCCACCUGGGGAGUACGGCCGCAAGGUUGAA
rnacentral:rRNA from 1 species